UCCAUCAUGGUGUAGUGGCUAACAUUAUCGCCUCUCAUUUCUGCGUAUGCAUAAUGGUCAGUGCGCGAUAGCCCAGGGUUCGAUUCCCUGUGAUGGAA